rnacentral:ncRNA from 1 species
AAAUCUAUGAGAAAAAGAAAAACUUCCUUUGUAUCUAGUGAUACGGCAGAAAGUUUCCUGUUUUCUCUCUGCUUU